ensembl:lncRNA
ACAGAAUUUCUGGUUCUGAGCGUCAACUCUCCAGCUGCGAUGGGGGAACUGACUGCUUGCUGCCUUUAAUUGUCUUACUCUCUAUGGGGAGAAAACAAAAGGGCUUCAGUCUCAUGGAUGUUAUUUGGUGUUUGUAAACGUAUGUUUUCUUUUCAACGAUUUUCAAAGUAUGUCUAAAUUUUGGUGUUGGGUAAUGCGUAAUGCUUUCUCACCAACAGAAAAAAGGAAAAAAAAAUGUUUUCAGUUAAACACUACAUGUCCUACUUGAACUCCACGGGGACGCUGGUUUGGCAUUUACUAAACCACUGAGCACAUGGGGUCUUUCCGGAUCCUCUCCCUUGGAAGGGCAAUGUGUGAGCUAAGGACUGUUUUUUUCUUACUCUCCAAUGUAAAUAUAUUAGUAUUUGAGUUUUUAAAUCACUUCAACAUUAUUUGAGCAUUUACUUUGUAUUUUUACAAACACAUAAACACACAGCCGUAGCACUUAGAAGAAAAGAGGCUUUCCAAACAUUCCUUCUUCUGCAGGAUAUUUGGGAGCCUUUUUUCUGUGUAUGUAUAUAUAUAAAAAACCAUGAAUCACUCACACUCACUCGACAACUAUGCAGGGCUAGGAAGCCUCUACGAGCUACCGGAUAAAUGAAUUACAUGCACUUUGAAGUAAAUAGGUUUUCUAUUGGGUGUCAACAACUCUGAUUUCUCCCAAAACUAUAGUUUCUCUUACGGUCUUUUCCUCCUUUACCCUGUGGAUAUACACUCAGGAAUAAUCUGACAUUUUAGAAAAACCCGAACAGUAGAUAGUCUCCAAGAUGGGAAACAUGUCGUGUGUCUGCACACACCGGCAAACUGCCGCCGCUCGUUCUGCUGCCUGACUGGUUAGCUGCUGUGCGGGUGCACUCGGUGACGCUGCUGGUGCAAGCUCCCGAGCUCCCAGAGUUAACACUAAUCUGCAGGUCGGCUGUGCAUCGCGUUCGAGGCUCCUUUUUUAAAGAGAAAAACAUAGGCCUCUGUUCUCAUUUGUAAGAAAUUUGACUCAUAAUAGAAGACGGUGUCUUUUGAAGCCCAGCCUCUGUCUGUCUUCAGAAACAAAAGCGAAUGCCAUCAUAUUCCUUGAUGUGUGUUUCUACCACAUAUGUAUGUUGACAUGUUCAUGUACUGCGCCGGUACCGCAAGUAAAACUCAGUAGACCUAAUUUGGAUGGGGAGAAAAAACUCAUCCCUGACCCUUUUUUUUUUUUCUCCAAAUGUUAGACCAGAGAUACUGAUCCCACACAUUCAUUUUUCUGAAAAUUUAUGAACUAUUCUCUCAUGUCCCUGAAAUAUAAUUAUAAAAGUAAAUGGCCACUAUUCCUAAGAUUAUUUAGUUUAUAAAGUUUGCUUUUAAUCAUACAGCAGCUUACCUGGCUAAAACUAUGUGUAUAAAGGGAAAACUUGCUUUAAUCUGUGGGAUUGCGGACUGGUGUGACUUGCAGAAGGUUAACAGGUGUGGGUUUUGUGUGUGUUAGAUGAGGUGUUAGUGGACUUUUAAUGUAUCUUGUGAAAUAUGGUUACUAGGGUAAGUUGAAGAGCUACGUGCCUCUGGCUUUUGAACCCGUCUAUUAAAUCUUUUUUAAUGCUGUACUAAGAUAAAUGUGAAGUCUAAGUAAGGUUGCUCUCAGAAAAAAGCAUAUAUAUGUAUAAAAUAAAGUUUAGGCCAUGGGAACUGGCAUUUUACUUGGUGUAGGAAUUUAGUGAGAACCAAAUCACAAAAAUACCAGAUCUCGUUUUGAGAUUGUGGACAAUCAGGCCGUUUGGACAAUCACCACUUCCAGUGCCCGCUGUGUGUUGAGGUUAGAGAACUACCGUUUACAUGCCAGAGCCAAGAGGGGACAUUCAAGUUUCUUAAAGAUGCUGUUAGUCUUUUUUCUUAUGUUAUUGUUUUAGUUUUGUGAUUUUUAUGAAUAAUUUUAAGUUCAGAGUCAACCCGUGGCUCCUAAGGAAAAAAACAGCAGCAUGAAAGGCAAAAAGUAUUUGAAACAUAGUUGUUUAAGUUUUCCACGCCCGUUCUCACAUGCCCCCUUCAGCUUUAUUUCUGGGAACAUGUCCCUAGACCUCAGCUAGCCUGACACUGCAAUAACCCGUUAGGCUUUGAGACUUUUCAGUGAAUUCUUGACAUUUCAGUCUUCUUAUAGAAUUCUUUAUGAAGCCUUACCUAAUUCUUGUUUUUGCUUCCUCAGAAACUUUAUUAUACCUGCCAUCCUUCAUUGGAUUUUUGUUUUGGUUUGUUGUUGCCAUUCUAGCAAUGAGCUUAGUCCUUGUAUAUCUGCAUUAAGGUGCCGAUGCAGAAGGCAAAUUGGAAGCACGCGCCAGCGGCAGUGGGGCUUAAAGCCGACCUCCAUGCAUCAUUCUCUAGAGUUGAAAGGACUGACAUUUCUCAGUAACUACCCGGCAAAAUAUAUAUUUUCAUAAUGCUGAAUUUAGAAAAAAAAAUGUUUCAUGAAACACUUGUAAGAUACUUAUUUUGAAAUUAAUUAUAAGGCAUUCAUAUUUUUAGGACUGAAUUCAAAGGGAAAUGCUUCUUUGACUUUUUUUCAUUGUUCGGUUGACUUUCAGCUUUCUGGAGUGACUAUUAAAGCAGCAGUGAUGGGUGCUAUUCCUGGUUCUGCGGUAGUUUACUUUGUCUACUAAGUGAUUUACUUUCAAACCUCAUUACAGAUAAUCUUACUAAAAGACUUAACAUGCACACUGCUAAAAGGUGUUUUACUGUUUUCCAUUAACGCUGUUGUAUGAACAAUAUUUGGUGACAUGUCUUUUUGUCCUGUAGAUUGUCAUAUCUGUUAUGUAGUUAUCCUAUUGGCAAGUCCUUUGAUUUUUUUUUUUCCUCUAGAAAAUCCUCAGACUGUCAAUCUUCCGUAUUCUGAAUAUUAUAAUGCUGUGGCCAUUUCUAUAGAAAGAUUACUUGCAAGUGUGUGUCUUGAAAAUAACCUCUUGUAUUUGUGUGUUUAUGUGAGUUCUGUCUAAGAGGUCAGAUAAGCUCUGGAAGCUUCAUCAUCUGUACCUACACGUGACUGUAUCUGGGUUACAUGGGCAGGCGGUACCAAGUCCUGCUCUUUGAGGGGGUGGCUGAGAGAGAAAGGUUCCUGAACUCUCCUUGCUGUGUACGCACCACAUCUGUACUUCAGAGCGGUGGAAAACCAUCUACAACACUGCAUUUCUUGUGGUUGUGCUGUUACUGGUAUAAAGUCAAGUGCCUUCAAUGCUAAAGGCUCAGAAAUUUUUCUUAAACUGAUUUCAUGUCCUAUGCAAGUGUUUUCUACAACCUGCAUAACCAGUACUUUGUAAAACUUGUUUACGCUUCAAUUGUACAUAGUGAUUUUUAAAGAAAUAUAUAGUAUUUUUAUUUAGGUACCUCCAAACUUGAAUUCGUCUGUGUGAAGCAUUGUAAAACGAUACAUUUCUCUUUUGAGUACCAUUACAGUUGUACAGAGGUUUUCACUGCUUCUAUUUUUCUACUGUUACUGAUAAGCAUGUAACACUGACUUUAUCCUACAUAUAGUUGGCAUUUCAAAUAAAUGGCUUGUAUAGAAUCUGCUGAGUUGGAUACAGUCUGUUUUAGCACUAGUGCAGCAUAUAGUCUUCCAUUAUAGAUGUCAUUGCACCCCUGGAGGGUAGAAUUGGGAGGUUUUCUAGGUUGAUUUUCUCUCUGUUUCUAGGAUUUCAAUCAUUCAAGGCAUUUUAUUAUCAUCAUCAUCAUCAUUGUUUUCUUGGAAAUCACACAUUUUAUUCUGAAUUACCAGUUUCAUUAUUUUCUAUUAUUUCAUUGAGAUAUUUCUGAGAAAUUUUAUUUUACAAAUUUGAGUGAAAAGUUCCUCUCACAGGCGUCUGCAGGAUUGCAGGAAGCUCAGCAUGGCGCCCAUGUGAACCAGGCACCUGGAUGUGUCCUGCUCUUCAGAGCCCUUCGAGGGUCAGAGACCUGGCCUAGAUUCUGAGCUUUGCUUUUGCUUUCACACCCAGGCUUAGUAAUAUUUUCCAAUUUCAAAAGGAAAUGAGAUCA